rnacentral:rRNA from 1 species
GAAGGUGUGUCGUGAGGCAUGCUGGAGGUAUCAGAAGUGCGAAUGCUGACAUAAGUAACGAUAAUGCGGGUGAAAAACCCGCACGCCGGAAGACCAAGGGUUCCUGUCCAACGUUAAUCGGGGCAGGGUGAGUCGACCCCUAAGGCGAGGCCGAAAGGCGUAGUCGAUGGGAAACGGGUUAAUAUUCCCGUACCUGGUGUUACUGCGAAGGGGGGACGGAGAAGGCUAUGUUGGCCGGGCGACGGUUGUCCCGGUUUAAGCGUGCAGGUGUGUGUUCCAGGAAAAUCCGGUUCACUUUAACACUGAGGCGUGACGACGAGGCACUACGGUGCUGAAGCAACAAAUGCCCUGCUUCCAGGAAAAGCCUCUAAGCCUCAGGUAACAUCAGAUCGUACCCGAAACCGACACAGGUGGUCAGGUAGAGAAUACCAAGGCGCUUGAGAGAACCCGGGUGAAGGAACUAGGCAAAAUGGUGCCGUAACUUCGGGAGAAGGCACGCUGACACGUAGGUGAAGCGGUUUACCCGUGGAGCUGAAGUCAGUCGAAGAUACCAGCUGGCUGCAACUGUUUAUUAAAAACACAGCACUGUGCAAACACGAAAGUGGACGUAUACGGUGUGACGCCUGCCCGGUGCCGGAAGGUUAAUUGAUGGGGUCAGCGCAAGCGAAGCUCCUGAUCGAAGCCCCGGUAAACGGCGGCCGUAACUAUAACGGUCCUAAGGUAGCGAAAUUCCUUGUCGGGUAAGUUCCGACCUGCACGAAUGGCGUAAUGAUGGCCAGGCUGUCUCCACCCGGGACUCAGUGAAAUUGAACUCGCUGUGAAGAUGCAGUGUACCCGCGGCAAGACGGAAAGACCCCGUGAACCUUUACUAUAGCUUGACACUGAACACUGGUCCUUGAUGUGCAGGAUAGGUGGGAGGCUUUGAAGUGUGGACGCCAGUCUGCAUGGAGCCGUCCUUGAAAUACCACCCUUUAAUGGCUGGUGUUCUAACGUAGACCCGUGAACCGGGUUGCGGACAGUGUCUGGUGGGUAGUUUGACUGGGGCGGUCUCCUCCUAAAGCGUAACGGAGGAGCACGAAGGUUGGCUAAUCCUGGUCGGACAUCAGGAGGUUAGUGCAAUGGCAUAAGCCAGCUUGACUGCGAGCGUGACGGCGCGAGCAGGUGCGAAAGCAGGUCAUAGUGAUCCGGUGGUUCUGAAUGGAAGGGCCAUCGCUCAACGGAUAAAAGGUACUCCGGGGAUAACAGGCUGAUACCGCCCAAGAGUUCAUAUCGACGGCGGUGUUUGGCACCUCGAUGUCGGCUCAUCACAUCCUGGGGCUGAAGUAGGUCCCAAGGGUAUGGCUGUUCGCCAUUUAAAGUGGUACGCGAGCUGGGUUUAGAACGUCGUGAGACAGUUCGGUCCCUAUCUGCCGUGGGCGCUGGAGAACUGAGGGGGGCUGCUCCUAGUACGAGAGGACCGGAGUGGACGCAUCACUGGUGUUCGGGUUGUCAUGCCAAUGGCACUGCCCGGUAGCUAAAUGCGGAAGAGAUAAGUGCUGAAAGCAUCUAAGCACGAAACUUGCCCCGAGAUGAGUUCUCCCUGAGACUACAAGUCUCCUGAAGGAACGUUGAAGACGACGACGUUGAUAGGCCGGGUGUGUAAGCGCAGCGAUGCGUUGAGCUAACCGGUACUAAUGAACCGUGAGGCUUAACCUU